rnacentral:rRNA from 1 species
UGGGGAAUAUUGGACAAUGGGCGAAAGCCUGAUCCAGCCAUGCCGCGUGUGUGAAGAAGGUCUUCGGAUUGUAAAGCACUUUAAGUUGGGAGGAAGGGUUGUAGAUUAAUACUCUGCAAUUUUGACGUUACCGACAGAAUAAGCACCGGCUAAUUCUGUGCCAGCAGCCGCGGUAAUACAGAGGGUGCAAGCGUUAAUCGGAAUUACUGGGCGUAAAGCGCGCGUAGGUGGUUAGUUAAGUUGGAUGUGAAAUCCCCGGGCUCAACCUGGGAACUGCAUUCAAAACUGACUGACUAGAGUAUGGUAGAGGGUGGUGGAAUUUCCUGUGUAGCGGUGAAAUGCGUAGAUAUAGGAAGGAACACCAGUGGCGAAGGCGACCACCUGGACUGAUACUGACACUGAGGUGCGAAAGCGUGGGGAGCAAACA